CCUACGGGAGGCAGCAGUGAGGAAUAUUGGUCAAUGGACGAGAGUCUGAACCAGCCAAGUAGCGUGAAGGAUGACUGCCCUAUGGGUUGUAAACUUCUUUUAUAAAGGAAUAAAACGAGGCACGUGUGCCUUUUUGCAUGUACUUUAUGAAUAAGGAUCGGCUAACUCCGUGCCAGCAGCCGCGGUAAUACGGAGGAUCCGAGCGUUAUCCGGAUUUAUUGGGUUUAAAGGGAGCGUAGAUGGGUUGUUAAGUCAGUUGUGAAAGUUUGCGGCUCAACCGUAAAAUUGCAAUUGAUACUGGCAGUCGUGAGUACAGUUGAGGUAGGCUGAAUUCGUGGUGUAGCGGUGAAAUGCUUAGAUAUCACGAAGAACCCCGAUUGCGAAGGCAGCUUACUAAACUGUGACUGACAUUGAUGCUCGAAAGUGUGGGUAUCAAACAGGAUUAGAUACCCUAGUAGUC
rnacentral:rRNA from 1 species